GGUGAUUCAGGGCUUCGGCGGUGGCUGGCUUCAUUAGCAGCUGCUGCUACUGCUGCCGGAGUCGAGAGAAGGGAGAUGGCUGACCGGUGCUGUCCUCGCCGGGGAAGAAGACGACGCGGCGGCGCGGCUUACGCCGUGUCUGCGUGCGUGUGUGUGUGAGUCAGUGAGAACUGAGAGAGAGGGAGAGAACCGAGAGGAAGAGGAGAGAUGCCGAGGGAGAGCAGAGCGCCGCUCGUCGGCGGCGAUGGCGCCGUUGAACGGCGGCGGCGGCGGAGAGAGCGCAGAGGCGCCGAGAGUGAGAGAAGAAACUGAGUGUGUGCGUGUGAUGUAGGAGGAAGGAAUAAGGGAAAUAGGGUUUAGGUAUUGGGAGUGGGCUUGAGAAUUGGGCCUAUGAUGGGCCGAUUUUUAAUUAAAUUGGCUGGGCUUUUUAUUUAAUUAUGUUGGGCUUGCUGUUGGGCCGAGACUUGGGUCGAUUUUAAUAAUUGUUUGGACCUUAUUCAAAGAAAAACAUAAUAGACUUAAUUUAUCUAAUUAAUUUGGGCUUAUAUCUAUUUAAAUUAUUUGAGCUCUUAAUUAUUAAUUUAAAUUGAGCUUGAUUAAUUUAAUUAUAUAUUGACCUUUAAAUUAAUUAUUUAAAUGAAGUUCUUUUAUUUCAAGUAUCUUUACAAAUGGACUUUAAAAUAAAAUAUUUUGAGUUAAACUCUUAUUUAAAUUAAUUCUUUUCAAAUGACUUAUUAAUAUGGAUUGUUUGAAAAUGAUU
rnacentral:lncRNA from 1 species